CUCGUGCUUGAAUGGUUUUUCUAUGGGUACUCUUGCUUAUUAAUGCAAACAGAGACUAUAAAAAAAAUAACAUAUAUGAACUGGUUAUCAUUAACCCUCUCAUGCACCCCAUAACCUGAUAACAAGCUGUCCACUGUAGGAACCGCUGUCCCUGAAAGGGUUACGCUAAAAGUCACACACAGACUAGUAUUCAUGCGUUGAAGUUGGUGUGUGGCUUUAAGGGGCGUGGCUUUGUGGGUGACAUUUAGGAGCUCCGACUUCAGCUUCGGUUGGCCAUUGACUUUGCGGUUAGUUCAAUGCUAGCAUCUUCUCCAUGCUCCUUGCCAGCGUUUUCAUUUUGUAUUUGUGUGUUUGACCGCCUCGUUCACAGGGUAUUGGCAGGUAACAAAACACCACCCCAUCAUGCCAUUCCACGAAGCGCCGCUUCAGCGCGACCCGCCCGCCGCAACACGCGGCGCUUUGCAAGUCAAUACAGUCAAGAGAAGCUGACAAGAGGCGAGGCGCAACGUGUAAUAAAUGACAUUUUGCCGUCAGCUCUGGCGAGCGUGCACCUGACAACCGCUGUCGUCCGCAGUCGUUUUCAUGUGACGCCUGGCUGUUAUGCGGAAAGUGGGAUUCAUUUGGCGCGACUGUCUGGCGCAGAUGCUGAUAUUACAAAUGGGCACAGCUGGAAAAGAUCCACCACCCAGGCAGACAGAGCCAGGCUCACACUUCUCACCGCUGAUACCUCCCCCAAGCACUGGCAUCUCUCCUCCUCCCUGCUACAUGAUGCUCAUGCUCAUUCACAGACAAUCACGGCGGCUACUAGAGACUGGGAUAAAAUCGGAUAGGGCAUUUGACGGAUUUAGGGCUGGGACUUAAUGGAGUGCACCUGCCAGGCAACAGCUGAUUGGACGCCGGCCGCUAAUGCUGCUUCACCCCCCCUCUCGCUGAGCAGCGCGGCUUUCAUUCAUUAAGGCCCGCAGGUAAGAUUGUCUGUCUGCUGAGAAGCCUUCAGCAUCUGCUCCCGCCCGGACCCUCGUCAUAACCUGACCAGGAUGUUUAAAGCGCAUGUCCGACUGCUGUGUUUUGACUUGCUGGAAGUGCUGUUUAAUGACAAUGGACUGCUUGUUCUGUUCACGGCGCAGAUUCUAAUCAAAGCUUUCAUCAAUAAUGGAUGGAGGAUCUAAUUGUGGGUGUACAGCUAGGCUGGGGGGGGGUGUCCCCUUGUAGGCUUUAAUUAGAGACCACUCGGAUGGGAUCUUGGGUGUUUUUGACUGUUGCUGAGUAACUCUAAUGCUGUGAUCAGUUUUCGGCUGGAAAAGAAAAAGGCGGUUGGAAAUAAUGAGAGAGAGUCUCAGUUUUUGAUUACAAACUACAUUGAAAAGCUACACUUUAGGACUUGUUUUUUUCCUUAUGCAAAACCAAAUAAUUUUACGGUUGUUUUUAAAAAAUAUAUUU